AUGCUUUACACAUGCAAGUCGAACGGCAGCACGGGGGCAACCCUGGUGGCGAGUGGCGAACGGGUGAGUAAUGCAUCGGAACGUGCCCAGUAGUGGGGGAUAGCCCGGCGAAAGCCGGAUUAAUACCGCAUACGACCUGAGGGUGAAAGCGGGGGACCGAAAGGCCUCGCGCUAUUGGAGCGGCCGAUGUCGGAUUAGCUAGUUGGUGGGGUAAAGGCCUACCAAGGCGACGAUCUGUAGCGGGUCUGAGAGGAUGAUCCGCCACACUGGGACUGAGACACGGCCCAGACUCCUACGGGAGGCAGCAGUGGGGAAUAUUGGACAAUGGGCGAAAGCCUGAUCCAGCCAUGCCGCGUGUGUGAAGAAGGCCUUUUGGUUGUAAAGCACUUUAAGCAGGGAGGAGAGGCUAAUGGUUAAUACCCAUUAGAUUAGACGUUACCUGCAGAAUAAGCACCGGCUAACUCUGUGCCAGCAGCCGCGGUAAUACAGAGGGUGCGAGCGUUAAUCGGAUUUACUGGGCGUAAAGCGUGCGUAGGCGGCUUUUUAAGUCGGAUGUGAAAUCCCUGAGCUUAACUUAGGAAUUGCAUUCGAUACUGGGAAGCUAGAGUAUGGGAGAGGAUGGUAGAAUUCCAGGUGUAGCGGUGAAAUGCGUAGAGAUCUGGAGGAAUACCGAUGGCGAAGGCAGCCAUCUGGCCUAAUACUGACGCUGAGGUACGAAAGCAUGGGGAGCAAACAGGAUUAGAUACCCUGGUAGUCCAUGCCGUAAACGAUGUCUACUAGCCGUUGGGGCCUUUGAGGCUUUAGUGGCG
rnacentral:rRNA from 1 species